GACGAACCGUGCGAACGUUAUCCGGAAUUAUUGGGCGUAAAGGGUGUGUAGGUGGCGCCGUAAGUCGGGUGUGAAAUCUCGGGGCUUAACUCCGAAACUGCAUUCGAUACUGCGGUGCUUGAGGACUGGAGAGGAGACUGGAAUUCAUGGUGUAGCAGUGAAAUGCGUAGAGAUCAUGAGGAAGACCAGUGGCGAAGGCGGGUCUCUGGACAGUUCCUGACACUGAGACACGAAGGCCAGGGGAGCAAACGGG
rnacentral:rRNA from 1 species